rnacentral:rRNA from 1 species
AUCACUCCUACGGGAGGCAGCAGUAGGGAAUAUUGCACAAUGGGGGAAACCCUGAUGCAGCCAUGCCGCGUGUGUGAAGAAGGCCUUCGGGUUGUAAAGCACUUUCGGUAGGGAGGAAGGUAGUGUAGUUAACACCUGCACUAUUUGACGUUACCUACAGAAGAAGCACCGGCUAACUCCGUGCCAGCAGCCGCGGUAAUACGGAGGGUGCGAGCGUUAAUCGGAAUUACUGGGCGUAAAGCGCAUGCAGGCGGCCUGUUAAGUCAGAUGUGAAAGCCCCGGGGCUUAACCUCGGAAUUGCAUUUGAAACUGGCAGGCUAGAGUCUUGUAGAGGGGGUAGAAUUUCAGGUGUAGCGGUGAAAUGCGUAGAGAUCUGAAGGAAUACCAGUGGCGAAGGCGGCCCCCUGGACAAAGACUGACGCUCAGAUGCGAAAGCGUGGGGAGCAAACAGGAUUAGAUACCCUGGUAG